rnacentral:rRNA from 1 species
GUCUAUAUGAGAGUUAUAUAAAGUCUGGCCUGCCCAUUGGGAACUAAAAGGCCGCGGUAUUAUGACCGUGCGAAGGUAGCAUAAUCAUUAGUCUUUUAAUUGGAGGCUGGAAUGAAUGGUCGGACGAGAAGUAAGCUGUCUUUAUCCCAUAGAUUGAAUUUAACUUUUAAGUGAAAAGGCUUAAAUGAGUUAGAGGGACGAUAAGACCCUAUAAAGUUUGUACACAGAGUUAAUUAAGAGCGAUUUGGAGAAAUAAAAUUUAUUAUUAGCAAGGUGUUUGGUUGGGGCGACUAGAAUAUAAGUUAUAUAACUGUUUUUUGUUUAAAUCAGAGAUAUCUGUUUAUAUGAUCCCUUUUUAGGAUUAAAGAGUAAAUUACUUUAGGGAUAACAGCGUAAUUUUUUUUGAGAGUUCUUAUCGACAAAAGAGUUUGCGACCUCGAUGUUGAAUUAAAAAUUUCUUUGUGGUGUAGCAGUUACGAGAGAAGGUCUGUUCGACCUUUAAAUUUUUACAUGAUUUGA